rnacentral:rRNA from 1 species
AGAAUCAACGCUGGCGGCGUGCCUAACACAUGCAAGUCGAACGAGAAAGUGGAGCAAUCCAUGAGUAAAGUGGCGACCGGGUGAGUAACACGUGACUAACCUACCUUCGAGUGGGGGAUAACCUCGGGAAACCGAGGCUAAUACCGCAUAACAUCGCAAGAUCAAAGCAGCAAUGCGCUGGAAGAGGGGGUCGCGGCUGAUUAGCUAGUUGGCGGGGUAACGGCCCACCAGGGCGAAGAUCGGUAGCCGGCCUGAGAGGGCGCGACGGCCACACUGGAACUGAAACACGGUCCAGACUCCUACGGGAGGCAGCAGUGGGAAUUUUGCGCAAUGGGGGAAACCCUGACGCAGCAACGCCGCGUGGAGGAUGAAGCCCCUUGGGGCGUAAACUCCUUUCGACCAAGACGAUAAUGACGGUACUGGUGGAAGAAGCACCGGCUAACUCUGUGCCAGCAGCCGC